rnacentral:rRNA from 1 species
ACGAACGCUGGCGGCGUGCCUAAUACAUGCAAGUAGAACGCUGAAGAGAGGAGCUUGCUCUUCUUGGAUGAGUUGCGAACGGGUGAGUAACGCGUAGGUAACCUGCCUUGUAGCGGGGGAUAACUAUUGGAAACGAUAGCUAAUACCGCAUAACAAUGGAUGACACAUGUCAUUUAUUUGAAAGGGGCAAUUGCUCCACUACAAGAUGGACCUGCGUUGUAUUAGCUAGUAGGUGAGGUAAUGGCUCACCUAGGCGACGAUACAUAGCCGGCCUGAGAGGGUGAUCGGCCACACUGGGACUGAGACACGGCCCAGACUCCUACGGGAGGCAGCAGUAGGGAAUCUUCGGCAAUGGGGGCAACCCUGACCGAGCAACGCCGCGUGAGUGAAGAAGGUUUUCGGAUCGUAAAGCUCUGUUGUAAGUCAAGAACGGGUGUGAGAGUGGAAAGUUCACACUGUGACGGUAGCUUACCAGAAAGGGACGGCUAACUACGUGCCAGCAGCCGCGGUAAUACGUAGGUCCCGAGCGUUGUCCGGAUUUAUUGGGCGUAAAGCGAGCGCAGGCGGUUUGAUAAGUCUGAAGUUAAAGGCUGUGGCUCAACCAUAGUUCGCUUUGGAAACUGUCAAACUUGAGUGCAGAAGGGGAGAGUGGAAUUCCAUGUGUAGCGGUGAAAUGCGUAGAUAUAUGGAGGAACACCGGUGGCGAAAGCGGCUCUCUGGUCUGUAACUGACGCUGAGGCUCGAAAGCGUGGGGAGCGAACAGGAUUAGAUACCCUGGUAGUCCACGCCGUAAACGAUGAGUGCUAGGUGUUGGAUCCUUUCCGGGAUUCAGUGCCGCAGCUAACGCAUUAAGCACUCCGCCUGGGGAGUACGACCGCAAGGUUGAAACUCAAAGGAAUUGACGGGGGCCCGCACAAGCGGUGGAGCAUGUGGUUUAAUUCGAAGCAACGCGAAGAACCUUACCAGGUCUUGACAUCCCGAUGCUAUUUCUAGAGAUAGAAAGUUACUUCGGUACAUCGGUGACAGGUGGUGCAUGGUUGUCGUCAGCUCGUGUCGUGAGAUGUUGGGUUAAGUCCCGCAACGAGCGCAACCCCUAUUGUUAGUUGCCAUCAUUCAGUUGGGCACUCUAGCGAGACUGCCGGUAAUAAACCGGAGGAAGGUGGGGAUGACGUCAAAUCAUCAUGCCCCUUAUGACCUGGGCUACACACGUGCUACAAUGGUUGGUACAACGAGUUGCGAGUCGGUGACGGCGAGCUAAUCUCUUAAAGCCAAUCUCAGUUCGGAUUGUAGGCUGCAACUCGCCUACAUGAAGUCGGAAUCGCUAGUAAUCGCGGAUCAGCACGCCGCGGUGAAUACGUUCCCGGGCCUUGUACACACCGCCCGUCACACCACGAGAGUUUGUAACACCCGAAGUCGGUGAGGUAACCUUUUGGAGCCAGCCGCCUAAGGUGGGACAGAUGAUUGGGGUG